UUUACUCAGUUCUCUUCCUCCCCAAAUCUUCCUUUAUUCUUUCACAAUCCCUUCGUCUGCUAUGUCUCAUCCUUCCAGAAAGACAAAAUAAUUUUGAAAAUCAGCCACAACGCACAAAAACCUGGAGUCGAUUCCACCGCAGUCCCAAUAGCAAAAAUACUUCAGCUAAAAGUAAACCCUCCUUCCGCAUCUACACUCCAUUUCUCCCCAAGCCCGACUCCGAGGAGGAAACACACAGACAUCCCCCCACCCUGCUAUUGCAUCCUCUUCGAGCGCCCUUCUUGCCUGCAACUCUAGGACCUUCAGCAAAAUCCGAAUACUGCUCCGGCGCAUUUCCUGCUGUUACAGUGAUCCCAGGAGUCUCCAAAGCAGGGAAUCCUCCUCUAUCGGAGGAAAACUCCCCGCUUGCCUUUGUGGCAUCAUCAACCCAUUCCAUGGUCUCUCUCGGUCCUCAUCAGAGCAACUAAAAAACUCUUAGUGAUUCUAUUGGCCGCGAAUCUCGGAGGGGUGCUGGGAAUCGUAGUCCUCGUCUCCUUUUCUCCGGUCUCAUUGGAGGCGCCACAGCAACCAACCUGCUACUGACGAAUUCAGGGAUUUGUAGUCACUCACUGAGGCUCCACCCUUCUUUCCACGGGUCUGAUUCCAUUCAAUGGGAAGGUGCUAGUUGGCACCCUGGCUGUGUAGAUUUUUGCCGAAGGGAAAGGACUCUUUCUUACUCCCUUGGAGAAAUAUAAGAACGUUUGGAAACAACUUACACUCCCUUUGGAGGAAUUGAAGAAAUACUUUUAGAGGAUAUUAUGAAGAACUCCAUUUAGCAGAUGGAAAGUUUAUCACGUUCAUGCACUUCUGAGGAAGCUCAUUUGUGAAACAAGGACUUAUUGCAAAACCUUGUCAAUUCAGUUGUUUAUGUACAUACAGUGAUUCUUAUAUUAAGUGAUUUAUGUAAUUGAGUGAUUAAUGAAGUUACAUUAAUCGG